GGGACACGUGGUAUCCUGUCUGAAUAUGGGGGGACCAUCCUCCAAGGCUAAAUACUCCUGACUGACCGAUAGUGAACCAGUACCGUGAGGGAAAGGCGAAAAGAACCCCGGCGAGGGGAGUGAAAAAGAACCUGAAACCGUGUACGUACAAGCAGUGGGAGCACGCUUAGGCGUGUGACUGCGUACCUUUUGUAUAAUGGGUCAGCGACUUAUAUUCUGUAGCAAGGUUAACCGAAUAGGGGAGCCGAAGGGAAACCGAGUCUUAACUGGGCGUUAAGUUGCAGGGUAUAGACCCGAAACCCGGUGAUCUAGCCAUGGGCAGGUUGAAGGUUGGGUAACACUAACUGGAGGACCGAACCGACUAAUGUUGAAAAAUUAGCGGAUGACUUGUGGCUGGGGGUGAAAGGCCAAUCAAACCGGGAGAUAGCUGGUUCUCCCCGAAAGCUAUUUAGGUAGCGCCUCGUGAAUUCAUCUCCGGGGGUAGAGCACUGUUUCGGCAAGGGGGUCAUCCCGACUUACCAACCCGAUGCAAACUGCGAAUACCGGAGAAUGUUAUCACGGGAGACACACGGCGGGUGCUAACGUCCGUCGUGAAGAGGGAAACAACCCAGACCGCCAGCUAAGGUCCCAAAGUCAUGGUUAAGUGGGAAACGAUGUGGGAAGGCCCAGACAGCCAGGAUGUUGGCUUAGAAGCAGCCAUCAUUUAAAGAAAGCGUAAUAGCUCACUGGUCGAGUCGGCCUGCGCGGAAGAUGUAACGGGGCUAAACCAUGCACCGAAGCUGCGGCAGCGACGCUUAUGCGUUGUUGGGUAGGGGAGCGUUCUGUAAGCCUGUGAAGGUGUGCUGUGAGGCAUGCUGGAGGUAUCAGAAGUGCGAAUGCUGACAUAAGUAACGAUAAAGCGGGUGAAAAGCCCGCUCGCCGGAAGACCAAGGGUUCCUGUCCAACGUUAAUCGGGGCAGGGUGAGUCGACCCCUAAGGCGAGGCCGAAAGGCGUAGUCGAUGGGAAACAGGUUAAUAUUCCUGUACUUGGUGUUACUGCGAAGGGGGGACGGAGAAGGCUAUGUUGGCCGGGCGACGGUUGUCCCGGUUUAAGCGUGUAGGCUGGUUUUCCAGGCAAAUCCGGAAAAUCAAGGCUGAGGCGUGAUGACGAGGCACUACGGUGCUGAAGCAACAAAUGCCCUGCUUCCAGGAAAAGCCUCUAAGCAUCAGGUAACAUCAAAUCGUACCCCAAACCGACACAGGUGGUCAGGUAGAGAAUACCAAGGCGCUUGAGAGAACUCGGGUGAAGGAACUAGGCAAAAUGGUGCCGUAACUUCGGGAGAAGGCACGCUGAUAUGUAGGUGAAGCGACUUGCUCGUGGAGCUGAAAUCAGUCGAAGAUACCAGCUGGCUGCAACUGUUUAUUAAAAACACAGCACUGUGCAAACACGAAAGUGGACGUAUACGGUGUGACGCCUGCCCGGUGCCGGAAGGUUAAUUGAUGGGGUCAGCGCAAGCGAAGCUCUUGAUCGAAGCCCCGGUAAACGGCGGCCGUAACUAUAACGGUCCUAAGGUAGCGAAAUUCCUUGUCGGGUAAGUUCCGACCUGCACGAAUGGCGUAAUGAUGGCCAGGCUGUCUCCACCCGAGACUCAGUGAAAUUGAACUCGCUGUGAAGAUGCAGUGUACCCGCGGCAAGACGGAAAGACCCCGUGAACCUUUACUAUAGCUUGACACUGAACAUUGAGCCUUGAUGUGUAGGAUAGGUGGGAGGCUUUGAAGUGUGGACGCCAGUCUGCAUGGAGCCGACCUUGAAAUACCACCCUUUAAUGUUUGAUGUUCUAACGUUGACCCGUAAUCCGGGUUGCGGACAGUGUCUGGUGGGUAGUUUGACUGGGGCGGUCUCCUCCUAAAGAGUAACGGAGGAGCACGAAGGUUGGCUAAUCCUGGUCGGACAUCAGGAGGUUAGUGCAAUGGCAUAAGCCAGCUUGACUGCGAGCGUGACGGCGCGAGCAGGUGCGAAAGCAGGUCAUAGUGAUCCGGUGGUUCUGAAUGGAAGGGCCAUCGCUCAACGGAUAAAAGGUACUCCGGGGAUAACAGGCUGAUACCGCCCAAGAGUUCAUAUCGACGGCGGUGUUUGGCACCUCGAUGUCGGCUCAUCACAUCCUGGGGCUGAAGUAGGUCCCAAGGGUAUGGCUGUUCGCCAUUUAAAGUGGUACGCGAGCUGGGUUUAGAACGUCGUGAGACAGUUCGGUCCCUAUCUGCCGUGGGCGCUGGAGAACUGAGGGGGGCUGCUCCUAGUACGAGAGGACCGGAGUGGACGCAUCACUGGUGUUCGGGUUGUCAUGCCAAUGGCACUGCCCGGUAGCUAAAUGCGGAAGAGAUAAGUGCUGAAAGCAUCUAAGCACGAAACUUGCC
rnacentral:rRNA from 1 species